GCCCGGGUGGCGAAAUUGGUAGACGCAAGGGACUUAAAAUCCCUCGUUCGAAAGAACGUGCCGGUUCGAGUCCGGCCCCGGGCACCA
rnacentral:tRNA from 2 species